rnacentral:rRNA from 1 species
GAUGAACGCUGGCGGCGUGCCUAAUACAUGCAAGUCGAGCGAACGGACGAGAAGCUUGCUUCUCUGAUGUUAGCGGCGGACGGGUGAGUAACACGUGGAUAACCUACCUAUAAGACUGGGAUAACUUCGGGAAACCGGAGCUAAUACCGGAUAAUAUUUUGAACCGCAUGGUUCAAAAGUGAAAGACGGUCUUGCUGUCACUUAUAGAUGGAUCCGCGCUGCAUUAGCUAGUUGGUAAGGUAACGGCUUACCAAGGCAACGAUGCAUAGCCGACCGGAGAGGGUGGUCGGCCACACUGGAACUGAGCCACGGUCCAGACUCCUACGGGAGGCAGCAGUAGGGAAUCUUCGGCAAUGGGCGAAAGCCUGACGGAGCAACGCCGCGUGAGUGAUGAAGGUCUUCGGAUCGUAAAACUCUGUUAUUAGGGAAGAACAUAUGUGUAAGUAACUGUGCACAUCUUGACGGUACCUAAUCAGAAAGCCACGGCUAACUACGUG